CCCAAAUGAUGAGCAGAUUUUACCUGACACUUGCUGGAGGGAAAAACUGAUUUAAUGAGCCUGAUGG